rnacentral:rRNA from 1 species
AACGAACGCUGGCGGCAUGCCUAACACAUGCAAGUCGAACGAGACCUUCGGGUCUAGUGGCGCACGGGUGCGUAACGCGUGGGAAUCUGCCCUUGGGUUCGGAAUAACAGCGAGAAAUUGCUGCUAAUACCGGAUGAUGACGUAAGUCCAAAGAUUUAUCGCCCAAGGAUGUGCCCGCGUAGGAUUAGCUAGUUGGUGAGGUAAAGGCUCACCAAGGCGACGAUCCUUAGCUGGUCUGAGAGGAUGAUCAGCCACACUGGGACUGAGACACGGCCCAGACUCCUACGGGAGGCAGCAGUGGGGAAUAUUGGACAAUGGGCGAAAGCCUGAUCCAGCAAUGCCGCGUGAGCGACGAAGCCUUUUGGGGUGUAAAGCUCUGUCAGCAGGGACGAAAAAAAUGACGGUACCUGCAGAGGAAGCAUCGGCUAAACUACGUGCCAGCAGCCGCGGUAAU